rnacentral:rRNA from 1 species
AGACCCGAAACCCGGUGAUCUAGCCAUGGGCAGGUUGAAGGUUGGGUAACACUAACUGGAGGACCGAACCGACUAAUGUUGAAAAAUUAGCGGAUGACCUGUGGCUGGGGGUGAAAGGCCAAUCAAACCGGGAGAUAGCUGGUUCUCCCCGAAAGCUAUUUAGGUAGCGCCUCGUGAACUCAUCUCCGGGGGUAGAGCACUGUUUCGGCUAGGGGGCCAUCCCGGCUUACCAACCCGAUGCAAACUGCGAAUACCGGAGAAUGUUAUCACGGGAGACACACGGCGGGUGCUAACGUCCGUCGUGAAGAGGGAAACAACCCAGACCGCCAGCUAAGGUCCCAAAGUCAUGGUUAAGUGGGAAACGAUGUGGGAAGGCCCAGACAGCCAGGAUGUUGGCUUAGAAGCAGCCAUCAUUUAAAGAAAGCGUAAUAGCUCACUGGUCGAGUCGGCCUGCGCGGAAGAUGUAACGGGGCUAAACCAUGCACCGAAGCUGCGGCAGCGACACUUUAGUGUUGUUGGGUAGGGGAGCGUUCUGUAAGCCGUUGAAGGUGUCCUGUGAGGGGUGCUGGAGGUAUCAGAAGUGCGAAUGCUGACAUAAGUAACGAUAAAGCGGGUGAAAAGCCCGCUCGCCGGAAGACCAAGGGUUCCUGUCCAACGUUAAUCGGGGCAGGGUGAGUCGACCCCUAAGGCGAGGCCGAAAGGCGUAGUCGAUGGGAAACGGGUUAAUAUUCCCGUACUUGGUGUUACUGCGAAGGGGGGACGGAGAAGGCUAUGUUGGCCGGGCGACGGUUGUCCCGGUUUAAGCGUGUAGGCUGGUUUUCCAGGCAAAUCCGGAAAAUCAAGGCUGAGGCGUGA